CAAGAGAUAUUUGUGUUAUGUAUAUAUAUACCCAAAACAAAAGAGCCCAGUUCAAGUUAGUUUAAAUUUAAAGGCCCACAAAAAAUUUACCCAAUGAAAUAGGCCCAAAUCUCAAUGACAGACUUGUAUUCUUUCGUAUUGAUGCUCUUUUGUUCAAGGAAAGUUAUUAAUUUUUUUUUAUGUCUAUCUUAAUAGAAAUU
rnacentral:lncRNA from 1 species